UUGUAGAACUAAUGAGUAAGGAAAAUAACGGUUUGGGGUGAUGCCCGGGUCUUCAUCACCUUGUGCGCGAGGAAUUUUUGAGAAUAAAGGUCGCCCUGCAGGUGACCUGCCUACUUUCUGGGAUGCCGUAGAGCAGUGAUCUGAAAA